UUUUUUUCUCUGCAUAUGACCCAAUAACAUUUGAUAAUUUGCUUGGUAAUGUUUUCUCUCUGAUGCUUGUGAAAUUGUUUAACAUAUAUACCUUUCAUUGUUUUGCUAGCUGUGGUUGAGCAACACCUUUUGUGGCAGCAAAAAUUGCCAGUGACACAGAUGGUAGGGCAUCACUCAGAUAAGCCAAGAUAAAAUUAAUCUGUCUGGCGCAUCUUUUCAUGGCAGGCACUAACCUAACCUGCCUCUCUGAGCUCUGGCAUCUUGGCCGUAGGUUUGUGUACAUGUGAUCUCAGUGUACAGGGCUGGCGAGAAACCCUCCACUGGAGACAGUGAUGGUGAGGCUCCCCAUGGUGCAUCAGAGAGCACCUGGACCUGUGGCACAACCUGUAAUUAUGGUAUUUUCAAAUGCUCAGCCUCAGCAUUUGGGUUCACAGAGUUGGACAGCAAAGAGUCUCUGUCCCACUGGUUGGCACAGCAGUGUUACUACAGCCCUGCUUCCCAGGCUACAGGUCACCAGUCUGUCACUUGACUUUAAGUGCUGAUUGCUGUUCUUAAUUAUUUGAUCAGUUGAUAGCUGUCGUAAGGCUAAACUACUUAAGCAUUUACUGGAGUAACUUAAGCAUUCCUCUUUCAGUAUACCCAGGACCGGUUGCCUCCAUUUUAUACCUGAGGAGGUAUAAAGAGCAGUGGGAAGGUGCAGAGAAACAGCUGUACCAUACAGCAGUACAAGCACCUCAACAUACAGACUCAUUUCAGUGGUGUGGCAAUAAACAGGUUGCAGAUCUGGUUCUCUCAUGUUUUAGCUGUAAACAGCUUUAAUUCAGUUUUGCUAUUGUUGUGUAACUUCAGUAUUUGCAAAUCGUAGUAUUUCUGCUAUACACAUUAUGAAACGUGGGCAGGCUCUUUGUUUCCCAAAAGAGACUGAUAAUCAACAAAAUAAACCAAAUAGAUUUUUCAAGGGUUUGUAACUCAAAGACUCUCUAAGCAUGCAAGACCCACUUACUCAACCUCAUAUGCCCUUACAGCAUGUACUGUGAUCAAUCAUUAGUGUGAAAUACUUACUUUUUGCCUAUUUUAUGUGCAUAUAUGUAUAUAUUCAUCAAGUUUUUAAAUUUAAAAAUAUGCUGUUCUAUUUUAAAAUGCCAAACACUCAAGAAAUGCCUGCCUGUCCCAGUGAUUCUGUGUUGCCUCUGCUGCCCACUGUGACCCUUUUGACUGGGCAGGCUGGUUGCUGCAGAAGGAGACGUGGCAUAGCCCCUCUGCAAUUUCAGGGGGACGCGCCCAGCAAAACUGACUCUGCUGGAGGGCACAAGCACUGGACCCUGGCAUGGAGAAGGAAUAAAGCUGCCCUCUUUUCUGCAAACCUGGAGUAUCUUCUCAGCGUGCAGGAAAGUCAAGGUGAGAAUAAAGCAACUGACAGUGUUGCAUAGAAUAUUUUGCAAAAAAAGACCAUGGAAGAAUUUCUGCACAGCAAAUAGGGAUAAUUUGUGAGUUAUAGUGCCAGCCACUCACCAACUUGCCCUCCUCUUACUGUCAAAAGAUGGGAAGAAACAGAGAAAUGGGAGCAAAGAGAGUUUGCAGGAAAAAGGGAGAAGAAGGAAUAAGACAACUGCAGGUGAGCAAGACAGAGACAGCAAGGGAAGAGCAGAAGGAGCGUUAGGAUUGUCAGCACCAAGGAGGUCAGAGACCUUGGGUGUGAUGACAGAGAAACCUUAGGAGUUAGCUGUGCAAAAAUCCAGUUUACAGGAUAUUUAAUUUACUAUGAUAGAUACUUCACAUCUAUCCAUUUUACAGUCUCCAUAGGCUACGCCGCAGAGAUAAAAAUGAAAGGCUUAAACUGAAGUGACUUAGCCAAGUACUAAACAAACACAAAACAAACCAACACCCUAGAGGAAGUCGCUACCUUUCUGUUACCAAACUACAAGAGGUGAGGCAAAAACUUUAACAAAGGAAUGGGUCUGCUGCAACAAAGGAAAUAACAGCAAAAGCAGGGACAAGGACACAUCCUAACCCCACUAAUAUCAGCAGGAAUUUGCCUUCAUCUUCAGUGGGAACACAACUUCAAAGACAUAGGUAUCACCCAUAAAACCUGAAGGAUUUUCUAAGCUUGAGAGACCAGUUUUCAAAAGCUCUCCAGCAAAGUUAUUAUGUUACAAGCAUUACUCCAUCAGAAGAAACUGUAAAAGGAUGAUCCAAAAUACUCAGGGAGAAUAAGGCACAAAGGGAUGUAUCAGAGGUUACCAUGAAGUAUUUGUGAAGAAAGACACUGAGCACAGAACAGAUCUCCUGAAUCCAUACUGGCACUACAAUAUUGUACAUUUCCAUGGGAGGCUGAAUUGCAAAUGCCAUGGCCAGAUGCAUUGUCAGCUGAUGGAUGCAAUCCCAGUACUGAACUGAAUGCUGUAAUUUCUUUCCAGAUGUAUUUAAAACUCCUCUGGUUCAAUAAGAAAGCAGGGCUUGAAGCCUCUCUCCUGCCAAAGGCAACCAUGCCAUACCUUCUCCUUCAUAAAUAAUCCUUCACAAAUUUAGGAAAUUAAGUAUUUUCCCAAACGGGAGAAAAAUAUGAUCCAUUUGGAAAUACAGACAAAAUAAAUAUUUUAGCUAAUUAAUUUAGCUAAUUCUUCCUUGUCAAUUUGUACAGUAACUUUUACUGAAAUGGUGCUUUUGAUUCUUUCCUCUGUCUCCAACUGCAGAGAACAAAGAUUGUAUUCAGCAUCAGUCUGUGCUGGGUAAAGCACCAAACUUGUCAAACCAUGCAGACCAAGCAAAAGAGAACCUGUGAUAAAAGGUCUAACUUAAGAGCAGAUUUCACGAUGACUUCAAUUUCUUUGUUCAGUCAAACCCUGUGCACCAGACAGGACUGGCUCUGACAAGCUUCUACAGAAAAAUGACACAAAAGAGACUGAAAUCUAGGCCACAGCUACAAAUAAUUCUUAGGAAGCUCUCUGGAUUUCCUGGAGGGCGAGGUGUGGCUCUGUGCGUGGGAGGUAAACGCUGGUGUCUUUCUGUUAGUAGUAAUUAGGUGCAGUUUGAGUUUCAUUAAUAAGAGCUACUUAUGCAUGCUGGAAAAAAAGUUUAUCUGACACAGGGAUUAUAUGUUACUAGCUAAUGUCUUACCUUGUGUGUUAUCUUUGUUAUUUUGUGAUUAGUGCUUUAAAAUGUCCAUGAUAUUUUAUAAGUAUAUAAGAAAAAAAGUUCUGUUACAGAGAGUUUAAAAUAUAAAAGAGAAAGAAAUCUCCUGGUAAACCUCCAAGUUAUCCCACCAGUCUGUCUAAUAUUUUAGAACCACUUCUCGCAUUAGCAUUUGUUUUUAUUAGCUUUAGUCAUUUUGCUUUUGAUGUUGUUUAUAAUUACUGCCAAAUGCAAAAAUAGGCUUUCCAGAAAUUUACCAGGAACACCCAGCAUCGAAAUAUCCGUCUUAAAAGAUUUGAUAAACCAGUAAAGAAAGAGUAUCUUUUCAGGGGAAAACGGCUGGGUAGCCUUAAACAGAAGAGAUACUGCAAUUCUAGUGACUAUUCAUCAAAAUCUAGUGAUGCAAACAGGAAAAAAAGCAAACCUGUAAUGUAGCUAAAAAUGUCUGUUAAAUUAUUUUAAAAGUCCGUUUGUUACAGAGUUCAACCCCAUACCAUCUGAAUAUUAUGGUAGUUAUUCUAAAAUUCUUAAUUCUUAUAAAACACCUUUUUUACUCCAUUUUGAGGUUUCAUAGCAUUACAGGUUUUCAGGCCAGAAGAAAGCACCACGAGUCUUCAGCCUGACCUUUUGCAGGGUGCAGGUGGCAAUUAGAUCAAGUGAUGUGUGCAUCAUUUCUGGGGUACAUAAUUUCUGGUGGAGAUAGAACACUUCCUUUGGAAAAAAAAUCCACCUUCUUGAUUUAAAGAUUUCAAGUGGCAAGGAAUACUUCCCAGGCCUAUCAAUUUAUUUUUUUUCCCAAGGUUUAGUUAGUCCAGAGGGUUCUCUCUAGGUUCUGGUUUUGUUUUAUAAUCAAAAAAUGGCUCAGCUUUCAAACGCUACAUCAUUUAAAAGAUUUGUCUUCUAAACUGAAGACUUCUAUGAUUAUUCUCUUUAUUUAUGUAAUUCAAGGUGAGUUAGUGCUCAUGUAAUUCAUUGAUGGGAUAGAGAUUAAGGUUCUGAAGCCCUGGUAAGAAGGGUUUC